CAAAUGAGUGUCUGUAAAAGGAGUUUUUAAAAAUUGCACAUACACACAAUACCGGCGUUAUCUCAAACUUUGUCUGUUUGGUUAAAAAUAAAGAUCUCACCCUAAUUUUUUGAACGAAUUUUACAGCAGUUGAAAUAAAUCACGCAUUUUCUUUCAUUGUUUGUUUGUUUAAACUCUAAAAUGUCGGUAUUUUUCUGUUUUGUUUAACUCAAACGUUUAUUUUUCUUUCACCGGAUAUCCGCUUGUCACGUGACGCAGAACCACCGAGGGUAUAAAUAACCCCCGCUGCUAGUAACGGCCAAGGGGGGUGGAAGCUAACAACGCCAGAGAAAAGCGUGUUGACAUUUCUAUAAAAAACUGAAACAGAGAAGAAAUGACAUGGAUAUAUAGUAAGGACAAUAUAUUCUGAAUCCGAGCGUAUCAUGACUUUUGAGGUAAGUAAAAGAGAAGCGAAAAUAAACAAGAAGACGCUGAGUGGAUUAUGCUAACAGGCUAACCGCGCACCGAUUUUUUUUCGUGGGAUAGUAGUGGCAGGUCCCGCCCUCCGUCGCCUCUGAUUGGCUAAAAAAGCUGGAAACGUCAUCACCUUCGAGCCAAGCGCGGGCUGUCGGCUCUGUACAUCGAACAGAACGGUACAGGUCAAUAUCGCACUUCUUAAUCUCCUAACCCUAACCUUAAUCCUAACCCUUUCCCUUACCUUAACCCGACAGACGUUGACGGUUCACAGCUAUAAGGAAUAACCAAUCGGAUCCCAGCAUUUCUAGCUAAUCAGAGGCAAAGGAGGGCGGGACCCUCCCAUGCUAACAAGCUACCAAAAAACUUCCCCAACCGCGCUCGUGUUUCAGCCAGAUAUGCUAAUGAACAGGUACCACUAACGGUUGUAAUACUUUAUAAAUUUAUAAAUUUACAAUUGUUGAAGUGGAGUUAAAGUUAUCAAACUUUGAAAAUUCUUUACACAAAUGUGCUCGUUAAACUAAAAAUAAACUCAAAUUCUGAUCAUUUAUUUGUUGUAUUUUAUGUUACAUGUGCCCACAGUUGGACGGAAGCGGAUACUCUGAGAUGAUGUUAUCAUCUGUGUUUUUUAAAGUUCAUCAGCGUUUAAAUACUGGAAAAUUAAUUACCACUUUGUUGAUGAGACAUGAUCUAAAGAAAUCUAAACAGAUUUUCAUUUUUUCAUUGCUAUAAUUUUAUCACCAACUGACAAAAUGCUAAAAAGAAAGGUCACCUUUAAGUCCAGAGUUGUAUUAGUAGAUUGUGACUUACACUCUGGCUAACCUAAAUCAAUGUUUUUACUCACUUUUAUUUGCGGGAAAUAACUACAAGCUAAAAGUCCUGGGCACUUUACAUUGGAACCUUCUAUUGGCCAAAAAAAUAAUAAAUAAAAUGUACAAAAAUAGUGAGUUACAAGAACAACUGCUAAAAACCUGUUAAUUAAAUGUUUUGAUUAAGAUGUCACUAAUCUAAUGUGGAUAUUAAUUUCUGUCAAAGUCCAGAGACUCAACUACAAAGAGAUUAUGAUCUGAAGCUCCCUCUUGUUCACUAAUUAAGCAUUUAGUUCCCUGUAUGUGUAGUGUUUUCUUUAAGUGUAAUGCAUCUUAAGACUAUUGUACUAAAUCAUGAAAGACUCACAUUAAACACUGGAGUUAAAAGUCACACGUUUUAUUAAUGAAAAAGACACAAGAAUAAUAACACCAAACAUAGCUGAAGGUCUAUAGAUAUCUAAGACUUAAAUCAGCUUUCCUGACAGUCAUGCAAAAGUAAGUGCAAAUAGAUCUUAAGCACAAAUUCAGUGAAACUUUUCACUAAUUUUACUGUUUCAAAAGACAACACGGUAAAAAAACAACGCCUUGAUCAGUGAAGUAGCCUGAGAGCUUCUGUGAGCUCUCACCACAGUCCAGUUUGAUAUCCUCAGCACAGAUUUUUGUUUUUUUGUUGAGUUGGGUUAAAGAUGACGAACAAAUUGUCUUUUCUUUUCUUUCAGGACUCAUCGCCAGCGGAUACUGGAGUUGGGGGACCUCCUCCUUCGUCUCCUUCAGGAAGAAAUUAAUUUCACUAAGUGUUUUGAGACUUAAAUCAUGAUUAAAAGUGAAGACUUGAGACACUUAAAGUGUUUACUUAAAAGCCUUUAGGUAUCAUUAGUCAGCGGUUAAUUUAAAAUAGUUCAGAUUGAACUGUUUUCUAGUUGAAAUUAUCUUUAGACUUCCUUGCUUUUGAAUGGAAAUGUUGGUGCACUUAGGUGUCGUCUGCCAUUUCCAUUCAAAGCAAAGAUUUAAAGUCAUUUCAACUGGAAAAUGGUUCAAUCUGAACAAUUUUAAAUUAACUGCUGACUAAUGAUACCUAAAGCCUUUUUAGUAAAAAAUUUAAGUGUCUCAAAUCUUGACUUUUAAUCAUGUCCUCUGCAGGUCCCACGAAGCACCGGGUCUCCAGUCCUCCUGCGCCUGAGGAUCAAACACAAGGAAUAGAAGACUUCAGGAUCUGGAGUUCUGGACCCAUUUAGAUGAAACAAUAGGCAUAAUACAGAAAAAGCCCCCUGGUGGUCAGUUUUGAUAUAACUUGUUUGCUGCCUGAGACACUCGUGAUUGACUACUGCACAUUAUAAAGUACCAGAUCUGAUAUUUUUACUGAUUUUUCUAGGCAAAGACAUUCGUUAACAGUUACAAAUAAUACUCACAUUUAUUAAAGAACAGUUGGAAAUAUUCUAUUUUCUCUUUUGCUCACAAUUUUGGCUUUAAUAUCAAAUGCUGAUGGGUCAAAUACAUUUAGAGGAUUUCAGAGCAGUAAAGACACAGAAUCACAACUAAUAUGAUCGAUUAAUGGACAAUUUUAUCCAGGUAAAAUUACAGACAAGCGUUAGCCUUAACCCUGGCUGAUGACAUUCAACUAAUAACUUGAACAAGAACUAUUAUGAUUACUAAAAAUGUAAUACAAUACAACUAUUUAAAAUAUAUACUUUAUCAUUUCUAUCAUUGCUGCUAUUGUUUAUUUUUCAUAUGUAGACUUUUUGUUUGACUUUGGUAAAUAUGGAUUUAAAUAAGUAUUUUUUUACCUUGACAAAUAAUGUUAAUUAUUUUUGUUGCAUUUCAUUCUUGUUUUUAUUUUAUAUCAUGAAAUGGAUAAGAAUAAUGUAUGACCAAAUAUUACAUUUCAUACAAAAUUAUGUUUUCGAAUCAGUGCUGCAUACUAACAAAUUGGUGGUUAGUAAAAGUAUACAUAAAACUCCAAAUUCUAAUGGCGCCACUAUGGCUUGUCAUGUGAUGAGGCUUAAACAGGCAAUCAACACUCAAUGCUGCCCUUCAGGUCUUCUUCUUACAACUAACAAACAAAACAUUUAUUUUAAAUCCCCCUAAAAAUGUCAAAGCAUGUGAAAACACCACUUGUUGAAGUUGUUGUUUUUAAUUAAAAAUGAAUGAAAUGUUUGAGUUCUAUGUUGUCCCCAUAACAAAAGCACAGUCACAAACCAAGUAACACAUGCACAUUCACAUCACAACCCUCUCCACAGUUGAUGCCCCCUUUCACUUUUUUACCCUGCCACAGUGUCAUAAAGACAGACACCAUAUUAAUAACUUUCGUUUCGGUAUCACAAACACAUAACAUCAUAUUCAUUCAUUUAUUCAAUGGGAUGUCUUUGACAAUCACUGCCUGUUUUACAAUUAUUGUCCACUUGAUGAAACAGGAAAGCAAAUAAAGCCAAAUGAAGCUUGAAGUUUGAUUUUGCAUGAAAUGUAUACUGUCAUAAGUCGAGCAACUGGAUAAAAAGUGUCAAUGCUUCAGGAGGCUUCAUCUCACCAUCACUACUUUUUUUGUACUAUACAUUGACAUUUUAGUUUACUAUGAUAUUUUAAUCAUACUAUACUAUAACUUUUUUUUUUUUUUUUUUAUCAAACUUUACUGUGACAUUUUUAUCACACUGUACUAGGAUAUUUUGACAUACUACACUAUGACAAUUUCACCAUACUAUACUAUGACAUUUUUAUCAUACUUUACUAUGAGAUUUUUUUCACACCAAAAUUAAAACUUUAUCAGAGAAUACUAUAACAUUUUUUAAUAUACUGUACUGACAUUUUUUAACAUACUAUACUAUGACAGUUUUUUCAUACCAAAAUUUGAAUUGUAUAUCUAAGUAUACUAUGACAUUUUUAUCAUACUAUACUAUGAC
rnacentral:lncRNA from 1 species